CAUCACCUGGAGAUCCGUCUACGAGUGACACUGGAGCUGAUUCAUAACUGGGAAGAUUAUCUCUAUGGUGAUACACUCCAGAAAAUGUCAACUCACAAAGUGGACGGUCUAGUAGAAAGCGUGGUGCAGACGUCUGUGCUUGACUAUGGAGCAGACGCUGCGGAAUCAAUGAAAGAGGAAAUAUUUCGGACACUUAUACUCGGUUCAUACAGCUCCAUAGUGCAUUUAUAUGCAGCUGCAAAUGCCACCCACCGAGAUGUAGUGUCUAUCUAUCCUGAUGUUAGAAACAUUGCAAUUGAUAGGGAUCUGCUACACCAAACAAUCAAACCUCUCCAGCCUGACCAUGGCGAGCCACUGUAUAUAAUGUGGACAAAUACAGCAAAUACUCACCUUGAUGCAUCCUGGACUCCCAACCAUUUCGUUCCAUGCAUAUAUUUUGACAUGGAACCAGAAAGGGGAGCACAGAGUUGCAGUAGCACACAGCUAUGGUCGGACAACAGCACCGACAAAAAAAGCAACUCUUUAAAAAAACUAUCGGAGGAAAUGGAUACAAAAGACAAACAGGAUGAGUGUCCACAGAAAACAAGUGUGCUCUUGGACCAACCGGGCAAGGACGAGGAACAGCAGACGAAGGGAAGCAAAAAGGCAGUUCGGGAUAGAUUUUUUUUUAAUAAAAUAAAAUUCAAAUUUCCAUGGACAAAAAAGAAAACAUCUCCAGUGGAUAGCCCGAGGUAGCAUGAAGUAGCAUGUAUAUGCAAAGCGGAGAUACUCGGCUAUCCGUGUCACCACGCUCUCUACAGUAAAAACAGCCGGAAGAGACGCACUCAAUGUAUCACAAAUGUGACCAACCCCAACGGUUCUGCAGACAAAUAUUUCAGAGAUAUCUCGGAAUCAGUGUUUUAGAUUUUAAAAACUGUCCAUGGAUAUGAAAGGUGAUAGUUCAUACAAUGAAGUGGACAGUAGUAUACGUAUUGGUGGGAUGUACGAGGAAUGUGGAUUAAUGACAGACUAAUCCCUGUAAACUAUGCAAUAGUAUCUCACCACUUGAGUUUACCAUAUUUUGGUUUAUAUGCAGAUACAAUGGAUACAAACAUUCUGUCACAGCUGACCAACCACUAGUCAAACUAGUAACACGUUUUCCAGUGUUCCUCAAGUGAUCCCGUAUUUCCAUACUAGAACUGUUCUUUUGAGUUGUUCAAGGGAAGGCCCAAUGAAACGUGUUUGGUCUAGAGAAUUGAAAAUGCCUAAAUGCCUAGUCUACUCUGGACUAAAUUUUCUAGUAUUUUUCUUACAAUUCAUUAGAUAUUGGUGCUGAUGUUGAGAUUUCUAUUGUAAUUUAUUGAAACUAAUUAAAUGUAUACUGGAACAGCCUUGUACACAUUACAGGUCCAGUCUUCACAUAUUCUGGCUCUAUUCAGUACUGCCAGACCUGGUUUUGAGGUAAAGCCUCUGUUAAUGAAGUCAUUGCGGAUUUGGUACUAGAAGUUUACUCCAAUAUUGAAAUGUGAUGUGCAGAUCCUGAUACCAAUGUCGAGCUCUACACGUGCUGGCUCUAUAAAGUGUACAGUUCUGGUAGACUUGGAUUUGUUGUUGCAGACUCGCUCAGGAUUUAAUAUUUUACUCCGAUAUGGAAUUCCGAUGGCUCGGGCGAUCCCGAUACCAAACAGUGACUCCGAUAUGGAUUCCCCUUCCUUGGUCAUUAUUUAACCAUCUGAGUUUAUCAUCAUUAGUGUUGUGUCGGAACGGAUUCACGGAUCUCCAAAAUAAUUAGAUUAACAUCGUUGUAUUUUCACAUAUUUUAUUAAUUUACAUUCAAGUACAUGAAAUAAAACGUGC